GCCACUGCAUUUCCGUUCAGGAGUUAGAAAGGAUGUGGCUUUGGAGAGAGAUGCUGUUAUGCCAGCACUCCGUGGAGGGGUCAUUUCAUGAUCAUAAAAGCUUCUUGAACAGAGUAAGGACUCCAUAGAAAAGUGAGGGAAGGGGAGUGAACUACUGAACAGAGGGAACUUGCUAGCAAGAAGCUGGCACCGCCUGCAGCCCCAUUCCUGCCUGGGGGGAACGUUUCUGCAGGUGAAGCCCACGAAGAUGAUGUGAUAAUCGCAUUUCUGCCUUUCAACAUUGACAACGUUGUGUAGCAGAUUUUCUACUGUGAAAUCGUGAACAUUUGUCUCCAGACACCGUCCUUCUGCAAAGAGCCUGUGUGAUUCCCCUCAAAGUCAGAAGACCUAGUGACUUUUGUGUCCAGAAUUUCUUCAGGUUUUGCCCCCACCACAAAUGAAAGCUUGAGGCAUAGAAAUCAGACUGUAAUGGAAGACCAAACUACCUGUAAUGGAGAGGAAGAAAUACACAUGAAUUCUUCAGUCCUGCCAUCCACCUGCAUAUGGAUAUGUCAGCCAGGGGCUAACGAUCACAGGAUGUCGGUUGCUAUGGUGACAAAGAAUGAACUGCGAGGGUCCAUGAAAAUAGGUUAAUUGGGAAGAAGGCAUUUUAACCAAUAUAAACUGUUUUCCAAGUGAUUCCUUUCAAUAAAUCUGAAGAGUUACAUCACAUCACCAAUAAAGGUCGUCAUGGAGUCACCAGAGGCAGAUCCAGUGUGAGACCCUCACAGUGUCCUGGCCUUGGAGUAUUUUGGGGGAAAGAAGAGAUGUCUGAAUAGCCUGUCCGUAUCCAUCAACAAAGACUGCAAACAAUUUUUGACGAGAACACUUUCCAAGCUGUUCAUGUACAUACAAACUCUGUACUAAGAUGACAGGUCAGGUGCAAUGGAAAGCGAAUCUGGAAACAAUGGAAACACUGGAUUUGUAGAAUACAGAAGAAAAAGAGGGGGAGAAGGAAUAAAUUUUACCUAACUGUCCUCUGCACAUUUUCCCAGAUGAGCCUCCGAGGAGUCAGGGAUCAGGACACCUCGGACUUAAACCAUUAAGCCGCAUGGUAGCACCAAACCAGGAUGCCUCCCUCUUCCACAUUCCUC